GCGACGCGGAUUAAUUGCACCCAUCCCGUAAUAUCGGGAACGGAACUCGAGCGCCAUAAGUUUGAGGAAUUCACGAGAAUCGGCGUUACCUCGUUAUCUUUAUGCUGUUCUGGUUUUGUCGGAAUUCAUCCCACUUAGACUACUUGACGUUUUUGUCCGAUCGGCCGAGCUUUUUCACCCCGUCACGGUCUAACAGACCGCUGCUACCAGCCCCGCCUUUACCCCCGAUAAGUUCACCGACCCACGUGUUCGCGUGUGUCGCCUAUAAAAGCUCACUUAGCAUCAACAUGUACGGCAAUGUUCCUCCGUGAUGGCUGAUGGAAAGUCGCUGCUCGGAAUCUCGGUGGCCUCCGUCAUCUACGAGAGGACAUUUCACGAUCAUCGACCUAACUAGGGGAUAGAAGGGUCGAGAAACACCACAGGCGGCAUCGAUGGAUUCUUCGAUUAAAAUUUCAUCAACAUCAUCAUCUUCGGGUUUCUCAGUCUACAAAAUUGGUAUUGGUUUCUACAGUGGCCGUUAUGAGCGUGCACCAUGAAACCACGACGCCAUGGAUGGCGCCACACGGUGGCCAUCAACUUUCAGGACAUUCAGUACACCAUCGAGGGCGUAAAAGCAGCAGCGCGUCGAAGGAUCCAUCGAUCGGCCUUCCUCGAUCUCCGGCAACUUACGAGACACUAACGACCCAGCCACAACCAUAUCUACCUCGUUAUCGGCCACACCUUUCGUCGUUCUUGUCCGUAACGACGCUGGGCUUCGCGAAAACAAUUCGACCUUCUUGCUUUAUGCCAGAGCGAGGUCGAUCCGCUGGAAUGUCCACGGUAGUCAACCAUCUGUCCAACUUAUAAUUCCUGUUCGAGACAGCUUAACUGAUUUACCGCAAUUUGCCGCGUUCGUUGAUGAAAUACAGGCCAGGAUGUCUCACGGGCGGAUGGGGAGGGUGGAGUUACGUGUUGAUGCUUCCUCUAGUAGAUUUCUUUGUCUUUGUAACUUGUACAUUGUGUAUAUAGCGUGGGGUGCUAAUCUUCGUCGUAUGAAAUGUAAAAACAAUUGAGGAUCUUGUGGUUCACUGUUGUAUUAUAUAUUUUUUUAUUGAAACUGUUUAAAAAUAAAAGUAUACUUAUGAGCAAAACUAAA